rnacentral:rRNA from 1 species
UACGUAGGGUGCAAGCGUUGUCCGGAAUUAUUGGGCGUAAAGAGCUCGUAGGCGGUUUGUCGCGUCUGGUGUGAAAAUCCAGGGCUUAACCCUGGACCUGCAUCGGGUACGGGCAGACUAGAGUGCGGUAGGGGAGAUCGGAAUUCCUGGUGUAGCGGUGAAAUGCGCAGAUAUCAGGAGGAACACCGGUGGCGAAGGCGGGUCUCUGGGCCGUAACUGACGCUGAGACGCGAAAGCGUGGGGAGCGAACAGG